AGAGUUUGAUCCUGGCUCAGGAUGAACGCUGGCGGCGUGCCUAAUACAUGCAAGUCGAGCGAACUGAUUAGAAGCUUGCUUCUAUGACGUUAGCGGCGGACGGGUGAGUAACACGUGGGCAACCUGCCUGUAAGACUGGGAUAACUUCGGGAAACCGAAGCUAAUACCGGAUAGGAUCUUCUCCUUCAUGGGAGAUGAUUGAAAGAUGGUUUCGGCUAUCACUUACAGAUGGGCCCGCGGUGCAUUAGCUAGUUGGUGAGGUAACGGCUCACCAAGGCAACGAUGCAUAGCCGACCUGAGAGGGUGAUCGGCCACACUGGGACUGAGACACGGCCCAGACUCCUACGGGAGGCAGCAGUAGGGAAUCUUCCGCAAUGGACGAAAGUCUGACGGAGCAACGCCGCGUGAGUGAUGAAGGCUUUCGGGUCGUAAAACUCUGUUGUUAGGGAAGAACAAGUACAAGAGUAACUGCUUGUACCUUGACGGUACCUAACCAGAAAGCCACGGCUAACUACGUGCCAGCAGCCGCGGUAAUACGUAGGUGGCAAGCGUUAUCCGGAAUUAUUGGGCGUAAAGCGCGCGCAGGCGGUUUCUUAAGUCUGAUGUGAUAGCCCACGGCUCAACCCGUGGAGGGUCAUUGGAA
rnacentral:rRNA from 1 species